CCGCCUGGGGAGUACGGCCGCAAGGUUAAAACUCAAAUGAAUUGACGGGGGCCCGCACAAGCGGUGGAGCAUGUGGUUUAAUUCGAUGCAACGCGAAGAACCUUACCUGGUCUUGACAUCCACGGAAGUUUUCAGAGAUGAGAAUGUGCCUUCGGGAACCGUGAGACAGGUGCUGCAUGGCUGUCGUCAGCUCGUGUUGUGAAAUGUUGGGUUAAGUCCCGCAACGAGCGCAACCCUUAUCCUUUGUUGCCAGCGGUCCGGCCGGGAACUCAAAGGAGACUGCCAGUGAUAAACUGGAGGAAGGUGGGGAUGACGUCAAGUCAUCAUGGCCCUUACGACCAGGGCUACACACGUGCUACAAUGGCGCAUACAAAGA
rnacentral:rRNA from 1 species